AAUUUAAAUUAUAUUAGAAUAAAAUUCACGUCUUGCACGCUCCCUAUGGCUUUUCUCUUGCUUGUAUUUCUAUAUAUCGACGUCAUUCGUUCUGAAAUAAUUCAAUAAUGGCUUUUUUUUUUAAUAAGAGAUCAAUAUCUUUAUUUUGAAUGAAAAGCAGCAUCUUCGAUGGUAAUUUGAUAUCAGCAGAAUCUUAGGAUACACAUACAAACAAAAAGAGACCUUAGAUUAUUAACGACGGUAAGAAAGAGAAAUGUCAAUGAACUUUUGAACGUCCAAUAAGAAGUUUACGAAGAUAAGUGGCGGUGAAAAAAUUCGCAGGAUUCGAUUGUGGAGAUCUGGCAAGGAUCUCACCUCGUUUCCACGGACACUUGCCGCUGAUCCGCAACCUGCGUUAAAUUUAUGCGAGAACAAACCGCGUCGGACAUACUAGCAAUUAAAACUGUAAUUGCAGGCAAGAAAAUUGGAUAAGAAAGACUUAUCCGAUCUUCUCGAUGGACGGCUUUCAAAGUUUCAGUAAAAGUGAUAGCUACUCGUAAUUUCACCCUUCGGUAUGAUGCUCUUAUCCAUGAAUAUCCAUCCUAUUCUUAGUAAAGGUGCAGGAUGAUUUUUUUUUGGAACAGAUUCUUUUAUCUUUAACGAGUAUAUUAAUUUGCAAAAUCUUCAAAUCUUAUAUUUUUCAAUAUAUUUUUAGGAAAAAUAAUACUAGUAAAAUUAUUAUAGUUUCAAAUAAUAUAUGACACAUUUUAAUACUGAUUUAUUGAGUCGUAUCGUGUA